rnacentral:rRNA from 1 species
ACUGGGAGUAACAAGAGGGAAACGUUCUGAUAAUACUGGAUAAGUUAGUAUAUCGCAUGAUAUGCAAAUGAAAGCUACGGCACUAAAGGAGAGCUUUGCGUCCUAUUAGCUAGUUGGUAAGGUAAGAGCUUACCAAGGCGAUGAUAGGUAGCCGGCCUGAGAGGGUGGACGGCCACAAGGGGACUGAGAUACGGCCCUUACUCCUACGGGAGGCAGCAGUA